rnacentral:rRNA from 1 species
AUGCCGCCAACACAUCGCAGUUGGUUCAUGGCAUUAUCAUGGGCAGCAACGACGCAGUCCACGGCUUGCCAGCCCCGCUGCUUCUGCCAAGAUGUCCCCUACCACGACAGCUCUUGGUCUUGCACCGCCCAUGGCGUGCCAGGCAACAAGACGACUCUGCGCGCCGCCGCCCAGCAUGUCGGUCCGUGCACCGGGCAUAUCACAUGCGCCAUUAGUGUUAGCUACAACACCUUAGAGACGGGCAAGUUGCUGAAUAUCUUGGUGUUGAGGUGUUCAUGCUGGGUUCACACACGGUGGUUGUGGUGUUCAGGUGUAUCAAAGGGUCGUCAAGUGACCUGGCUCAGGAGCUUUACUCGUCUCAUUACACUUACAUGA